rnacentral:rRNA from 1 species
CCAAUAGCGUAUAUUAAAGUUGUUGCAGUUAAAAAGCUCGUAGUUGAACUUCGGGAUCAAUGGGUCGGUCAUGCCGUCGGUAUGUACUGAUUUUAUUGGUUCUCACCUUCUAAGGAACCGUAAUGUCAUUAAUUUGAUGUUGCGGGGAAUUAGGACUGUUACCUUGAAAAAAUUAGAGUGUUUAAAGCAGGCUAACGCUUGAAUACAUUAGCAUGGAAUAAUGAAAUAGGACAUCAGAUUCUAUUUUGUUGGUUUCUAGGAUCGAUGUAAUGAUUAAUAAGGAUAGUUGGGGGCAUUAGUAUUCAAUUGUCAGAGGUGAAAUUCUUGGAUUUAUUGAAGACUAACUACUGCGAAAGCAUUUGCCAAGGAUGUUUUCAUUAAUCAAGAACGAAAGUUAGGGGAUCGAAGACGAUCAGAUACCGUCGUAGUCUUAACCAUAAACUAUGCCGACUAGGGAUCGGAUGAUGUUAAUUUUUUAAUGACUCAUUCGGCACCUUACG